rnacentral:lncRNA from 1 species
ACCACUUUUUUGGUUAAGGGGCACCGGAAGUCAUUUGACGUCAACGGAAUGAGACCCGACUGCAAGGCAUCCAAGGAUACCACUGAUUCAAGCACAAAGACGAACUUAACCGCCAUCAGCUCUGCCUCACCGCCAUAGAAACACCCGGACAUCUCAGACCGUUCCCACACAUCAGACUCUACACGAGAGAUCCAGAAGCUUGAAAAUCGGAUGCUCUCUAGACCUAUCAACUCCGACUCCCCUUAACAGAGCCUGCUACAAUCCACCGCGACGCACCUCCAGCCAUGGCUGACGCAUCUCCGGUCCGAAACCCUUGAGAACGGCUUCAAACAGAAACGAGACUCCACACCAGAGAAACAGACAAGACGGCGAAGGAACAGAUCUGCCAGAGAAGCAAACAAAGAAAACAAAACGGACGGUGGAGGGUGCCUCCGGCGUCGGCACGCGCCGCACGCGCCUCCGGGCGCCGGGGGUGAAUCAAAUCGCGUUUUUAAGCUCUCUCUCUCUCAGUGAAA